AUGUGAUGGGUCGGUUUUGCUGGAGGGAUCAGCCAGUGGACCAAGUGAGCAGGAGGCGCCUCCCAACCUGACCUUGAGGGCAAAGGCUUUUCAAAUCAUCAAUGACCUCCGUGAGCUUAUUCACAAGAAGUGUGGCAGAGUUGUCUCUUGUUCUGAUAUCACAGCCUUGGCUGCAAGAGAUUCUGUUUUCCUGGUAAUUAAUUCCUUAACCAAUAAAUAUUUGAUUCUUCAAGUAAAUAAUACUUUUUUUUCAAUAAAAAAAUUAAAAAAAUUUAGUUAUACUUUUCUUUUGUUUUCUUUUUGGUGAAGUUGUUUCAGAUGACUAGAAGUAUUUUUAUUGCUUUUGGCAAAAGUUAAUAGUUUGACCAUAGGGUAGGGUUGGUGUGGAAAUUUCGUUCAUUCAGAUCGGAAGACUUCCCAACACAUAGAAAUUUCCCAACACUCAAGGUUCCGUGUUCACAUCCACAAUCCUUCGAUAUUUCUUGUAUCAAAGACAUGAAAAAGAGAGAAAAAGGCCAAAAUAAAAAUUAAUAAGUCUAACAUAUAAAUAAUUAAGUUAAAAUAUAAUAAGAAUUUUUAUUUCUUGAAGUGAUAGUGAAAAAGGGGAAUUCAUACACACUUUCGGGUGCAAGAAUAACUGCUCUUAAUCGAUUUACCGACAAUUUUUUUUAUACAAGUGUCAAAACUAUAAAUUGUCUCAAAAGUGGGCAUGUGGGUGGUUUCUUAGUUGUCCUUAUCGAACCAAUGAAUAUUUUACAAAUCUUAUAGCACAAAUCUAAAGGAGUUUGUAUCCCACAUAAUUGAAUACAUGGAAGAAGUUGUUGGAUGCUAUUCUAUUCGAGCACUAUAAACUCUAUCUACAUAUUAUUAUCGUUUACUAAUUCCUUUCUUUGUCCUUAGUCCAUGAGUAGUUGUGAUAUAAAAUCAUUGUUCCCACCCACCCACUUGUGAAAGUUGCUAUAACCUUUCAAUGCCCCUCAUUAAAAUUUUUUUUUAAAAAAAAAAAAAACCUUUAAAUGUCAGAAAAGGAGAUGGAAUCUAGGCCGCAUAUAUCAUAAUCUAUGAAUAUUUUCAUUGUUAUAUUUUCCUCUACCACAUGACUAUCUUUUCUGUUUUACUUUGCAAUUAAUAAAUCCUAUAGCUUUAUGAAUCUAGGCGUGUCUUAUAAUUUAUGAAUAAAAUAUAAAAUAUAAAUUAAAAAUUUGAAUUUUUUAUUUAUUUGGCAUGUACAAAAUUCAACUAGUUGCUAACAUUUUAUCCUUUGGAAUGUAUGUACAUAUUUGUUUUGGCGCAGUCGGGUGGCCCUGACUAUGAUGUGCCAUUGGGAAGAAAGGAUGGGCUAAACUUUGCAACACAAAAUGCAACCCAAGCAAACCUUCCCCCUCCCUCAAGCAACACAAGCAAACUUCUCACAGACCUGGCAAAGAAGAACCUAGAUGCCACAGAUGUUGUAGCCCUCUCUGGUGGCCACACCAUUGGCCUUGGCCAUUGCUCCUCCUUCACUGACAGGCUCUACCCAACCCAAGACCCUACCAUGGACAAAACUUUUGCCAAUGACCUCAAGGAAAUUUGCCCUGCAGAAGACACCAACGCCACCACCGUGCUCGAUAUCCGUUCACCGGACACAUUCGACAACAAAUACUACGUCGAUCUCAUGAACCGCCAAGGUUUAUUCACAUCGGACCAAGAUUUGUACACGGAUAAAAGG
rnacentral:lncRNA from 1 species